rnacentral:rRNA from 1 species
UACGUAGGGGGCUAGCGUUGUCCGGAAUCAUUGGGCGUAAAGCGCGUGUAGGCGGUCCGGUAAGUCCGCUGUGAAAGUCGGGGGCUCAACCCUCGGAUGCCGGUGGAUACUGUCGGGCUCGAGUACGGAAGAGGCGAGUGGAAUUCCUGGUGUAGCGGUGAAAUGCGCAGAUAUCAGGAGGAACACCAAUGGCGAAGGCAGCUCGCUGGGACGGUACUGACGCUGAGACGCGAAAGCGUGGGGAGCAAACAGG